UACGAGUGUGACAUGAAUGCAAUAUUAGAAUGUGCGUUAUACUAAUGAAGUAUGUAACCUUGAUGGUAUGAAAGUAUAGGAUCAUGUUUAGAUGGGAAAGCAUGGAAGGCAAACGGAAAGGAUAUGAGGAAGCAUGUACGAAACGGGCACUCGAGGUAAUAAGUCAUGAGAAUCAAUGGGGUGGCUUGAAUCGGAAUCAUGAAAUAAGAAAAGAGCUCACAAGUCGUUCACCAAUAACCCGAUUGGGGUGGUAGAAAGGCGAAAGUGAUCAAGUCUUGGAAGCUGGUCAACGAUAUGAGGAUUUAGUGAUAUUUUGUUCACUAAGUAUAUGGGU